AAAGCCACUUAAGAAUCAGUUCUAAAGAGGCUAACACAGAAGGGUAAAGGAACUCUCCAUAAAACCCAUGGAGGAGACUGUACACCUCCUCUUUGGAUCCUGUCUGGAGUCACAGAU